AUGGUAUAUUUCUCGGUAUUCUAGGCUCGGCCUUACAAUAUAACAAACAAGUUUGACCUCAAAUCAGGUAGGAUUACCCGCUGAACUUAAGCAUAUCAAUAAGCGGAGGAAAAGAAACCAACAGGGAUUGCCUUAGUAACGGCGAGUGAAGCGGCAAAAGCUCAAAUUUGAAAUCUGGCACCUUCGGUGUCCGAGUUGUAAUUUGAAGAAGGUAACUUUGGAGUUGGCUCUUGUCUAUGUUCCUUGGAACAGGACGUCACAGAGGGUGAGAAUCCCGUGCGAUGAGAUGCCCAAUUCUAUGUAAAGUGCUUUCGAAGAGUCGAGUUGUUUGGGAAUGCAGCUCUAAGUGGGUGGUAAAUUCCAUCUAAAGCUAAAUAUUGGCGAGAGACCGAUAGCGAACAAGUACAGUGAUGGAAAGAUGAAAAGAACUUUGAAAAGAGAGUGAAAAAGUACGUGAAAUUGUUGAAAGGGAAGGGCUUGAGAUCAGACUUGGUAUUUUGCGAUCCUUUCCUUCUUGGUUGGGUUCCUCGCAGCUUACUGGGCCAGCAUCGGUUUGGAUGGUAGGAUAAUGACUAAGGAAUGUGGCUCUACUUCGGUGGAGUGUUAUAGCCUUGGUUGAUACUGCCUGUCUAGACCGAGGACUGCGUCUUUGACUAGGAUGU
rnacentral:rRNA from 1 species